rnacentral:rRNA from 1 species
GAUGAACGCUGGCGGCGUGCCUAAUACAUGCAAGUCGAGCGAACAGACGAGGAGCUUGCUCCUCUGACGUUAGCGGCGGACGGGUGAGUAACACGUGGAUAACCUACCUAUAAGACUGGGAUAACUUCGGGAAACCGGAGCUAAUACCGGAUAAUAUAUUGAACCGCAUGGUUCAAUAGUGAAAGACGGUUUUGCUGUCACUUCUCGAUGGAUCCGCGCCGCAUUAGCUAGUUGGUAAGGUAACGGCUUACCAAGGCAACGAUGCGUAGCCGACCUGAGAGGGUGAUCGGCCACACUGGAACUGAGACACGGUCCAGACUCCUACGGGAGGCAGCAUUAGGGAAUCUUCCGCAAUGGGCGAAAGCCUGACGGAGCAACGCCGCGUGAGUGAUGAAGGUCUUCGGAUCGUAAAACUCUGUUAUUAGGGAAGAACAAAUGUGUAAGUAACUAUGCACGUCUUGACGGUACCUAAUCAGAAAGCCACGGCUAACUACGUG